CAGGACGAACGCUGGCGGCGUGCCUAACACAUGCAAGUCGAGCGGAGUUAACAAGAGGAAGUUUCGGAUGGAAUUUGUUAAUUAGCGGCGGACGGGUGAGUAACGCGUGAGCGACCAACCUUGCACAGGGGGAUAACGGACCGAAAGGUUCACUAAUACCGCAUGAGACCACGGUGUUGCAUGACACAGAGGUCAAAGGAGCAAUCCGGUGCAAGACGGGCUCGCGUCCGAUUAGGUAGUUGGUGGGGUAAUGGCCCACCAAGCCUAUGAUCGGUAGCCGACCUGAGAGGGUGAUCGGCCACAUUGGAACUGAGAUACGGUCCAAACUCCUACGGGAGGCAGCAGUGGGGAAUAUUGGGCAAUGGGGGAAAAACCCCUGACCCAGCAACGCCGCGUGAAGGAAGAAGGUUUUCGGAUUGUAAACUUCUGUCCUUGGUGAAGAGAAGAAGACGGUAGCCGAGGAGGAAGCCCCGGCUAACUACGUGCCAGCAGCCGC
rnacentral:rRNA from 1 species